rnacentral:tRNA from 1 species
GCGUCUUUAGCUCAGUGGUAGAGCGCUCCCUUCACACGGGAGAGGUCGUAGGUUCAAUCCCUACAAGACGCA